rnacentral:rRNA from 1 species
AUUGAACGCUGGCGGCAGGCCUAACACAUGCAAGUCGAACGAGUGGCGGACGGGUGAGUAAUGUCUGGGAAACUGCCUGAUGGAGGGGGAUAACUCCUGGAAACGGUAGCUACUACCGCAUACCAUCAGAUGUGCCCAGAUGGGAUUAGCUUGUUGGUUGGGUAACGGCUCACAAAGGCGACGAUCCCUAGCUGGUCUGAGAGGAUGACCAGCCAGACUGGAACGGUGACACGGUCCAGAGUCCUAAGGGAGGCAGAAGUGGGGAAGAUUGCAAAAUGGGCGCAAGCCUGAUGCAGCCAUGCCGCGUGUAUGAAGAAGGCCUUCGGGUUGUAAAGUACGUUCAGCGGGGAGGCGUUACCCGCAGAAGAAGCACCGGCUAACUCCGUGCCAGCAGCCGCGGUAAUUC